rnacentral:lncRNA from 1 species
UGGAUUUAAAUUUAUAUUUGUCGAAGUUGCAAGAGAUAAGUGAUCCAAAAAUGGUAAAAGAGAGGACAUACAGUCCAGUUAGAAAUCAGUUAAACAAACAAUGUUUUAAAUUCCUAAUUCAUCUAUCACAAUGUGUUGGAUCAAAUCUUUUACUCAUCAGCUAAGAGAGGGCAGUACAUGAAUUCUUUAAAACAGAGUGGCGAC